CUUGGUCAUUUAGAGGAAGUAAAAGUCGUAGCAAGGUUUCCGUAGGUGAACCUGCGGAAGGAUCAUUAUUGAAAUUAUAGGCAAAGGUUGUAGCUGGCCUCUCGGGGCAUGUGCACGCCUGAGCCCCUUAAUCCACACACACCUGUGAACCAAUUGUAAGGGCCCCCUGAAAAGGGCCUUUACGUCUUAUUCAUCAACCCAUUGCAUGUCUCAGAAUGUAAACAUAUGUCCUCGCCUUAAAAAGCGUUGAUAAACUUAUACAACUUUCAACAACGGAUCUCUUGGCUCUCGCAUCGAUGAAGAACGCAGCGAAAUGCGAUAAGUAAUGUGAAUUGCAGAUUUUCAGUGAAUCAUCGAAUCUUUGAACGCACCUUGCGCUCCUUGGUAUUCCGAGGAGCAUGCCUGUUUGAGCGUCAUUAAAUUCUCAACUCCGAUCGAUUUGUUUCGACCUCGGAGCUUGGACUUUGGAGUGUGCUGGCGUCGGUCGGCUCCUCUCAAAUGCAUCAGCGGAAUCUAACGUUUCGGACGUCAGUGUGAUAAUCACGUUGCGCUGUCAACCGAUCCUGAAAGGCCCGCUCAUAAAGGUCUUCGGACAACUUCAUAUCAAAUUUGACCUCAAAUCAGGUAGGACUACCCGCUGAACUUAAGCAUAUCAAUAAGCGGAGGAAAAGAAACUAACAAGGAUUCCCCUAGUAACUGCGAGUGAAGCGGGAAAAGCUCAAAUUUAAAAUCUGGCGGUCUUGCGGCCGUCCGAGUUGUAAUCUGGAGAAGCGUCUAUCCGCGCCGGACCGUGUACAAGUCUUCUGGAAGGGAGCGUCGUAGAGGGUGAGAAUCCCGUCUUUGACACGGACAACCGGUGCUUUUGUGAUGCGCUCUCGAAGAGUCGAGUUGUUUGGGAAUGCAGCUCAAAAUGGGUGGUAAAUUCCAUCUAAAGCUAAAUAUUGGCGAGAGACCGAUAGCGAACAAGUACCGUGAGGGAAAGAUGAAAAGCACUUUGGAAAGAGAGUUAAACAGUACGUGAAAUUGUUGAAAGGGAAACGUUUGAAGUCAGUCGCGUCGGCCGAGACUCAACCUGGCUUCUGCUCGGUGCACUUCUCGGUUGACGGGUCAGCAUCAAUUUUGACCGCCGGAUAAAGGUUGGGGGAAUGUGGCAUCCUUCGGGAUGUGUUAUAGACCUCGAUUCGGAUACGGCGAUUGGGAUUGAGGAACUCGGCGCUCUGCGUCCAGGAUGCUGGCAUAAUGGCUUUAAGCGACCCGUCUUGAAACACGGACC
rnacentral:rRNA from 1 species